AACCCAACAGCUCGCCUCCAAGAUCUAAAUUCAAUAAUCCAUAUUUAUAACCCCGAAUAUUCUGAUUUAAUUAACUAAAUCAUUCUUCCUCCUUAGUAAGUGUGACAGAACAGGAAAUAUGUGAGCGCCAUAGAAAAAGUACCGUAAGGGAACGCUGAAAGAGAAGUGAAAUAACCCAGUCAAGUACAGAAAAGCAGAGACUAGUUCUCGUACCUUUUGCAUCAUGAUUUAGCAAGUUUAUUCAAGCAAAAAGCAUUUUAGUUUGUUAUCCCGAAACUAGACGAGCUACUCCAGGACAGCCUAUUUAUAGGGCACACCCGUCUCUGUGGCAAAAGAGUGGGAGGAUCUUUGAGUAGAGGUGACAAACCUACCGAGCCUAGUUAUAGCUGGUUGCCUGGGAAUUAAAUAGAAGUUUAGCCUCUUGUCUUCUUAUGCCAAAUAUGGACACCCAAACCUCAGGUUUUGAGAAUACAUUGAGAGUUAGUCGGAAGGGGGACAGCCCUUCUGAAUAAAGAAACAACUUUUUUAACUGGAUAUUAAUCAUAAAUAUAUAAGGA
rnacentral:rRNA from 1 species